rnacentral:rRNA from 1 species
CAUCUAGUGGAUGACUUGGCUUAAGACGCCGAUGAAGGACGUGACAAGCGACGAAACGGUUGGGCGAGGCGCACGUAUCCAUUGAACCCAACGUGUCCUAAUGGGAAUCCCUUCUACGGGGAACCGUAGAAAUAUUCGGCUUCGGCUGAAUAGGGGAACGCGGGGAAUUGAAGCAUCUUAGUACCCGCAGGAAAAGAAAGCAAUAUGCGAUGCCGUGAGUAAAGGCGAUCGAAAACGGCUGAGAGCAAACUGAAUAUCCGCUGGAAACAGCGGAUAAAUGUGGUGUUCGGAUCUAUCAUAUGCAAUCUAAACAUCCGAGGUCAAAAUCUUCUGGAAAGCUGUGCUAUAGAGGGUGAUAGCCCCGUAGACAGAGGAUGCAUGAUUGUGAUAGACUCCAGAGUAGCAUGGGUUGGAUAUCCCGUGUGAAUGUGGGAGGCAUCGACUCCCAACUCUAAAUACGUUUUAAGACCGAUAGUGUACUAGUACCGUGAGGGAAAGUUGAAAAGUACCCUUAACUGGGGGUGAAAAGAACCUGAAGCUAGAUGGUGAUAGUCUGGCACGGCCUGAAAGGGUUUGAGUCUCUUCGAAGGAUAAUGUCGUAAGGCAUGUGUACGAGAAGAGAGGACCAGGGUCGUGUCGUACGUGUUGAAAAACGGGGCGGGGAAUCUAUGGUUAUGGCGAGGUUAAAGGUAUUAUGCCUGAAGCCAAAGCGAAAGCAACAAGUCCGCAAUACACCUUCGGGUGUAUGAGGGACGGGGUGUGAAAGUGCCCGGAGUCAUAGCUGUAGGACCUGAAACCAGUCGAUCUAGCCCUGGGCAGGAUGAAGUCUCGCGAAAGCGCGAUGGAGGUCCGUUACCGGUACUGAUAUGCAAAUCGUUCGGGUGACCUGGGGCUAGGGGUGAAAGGCUAAUCAAGACUGGUGUCAGCAGGUUCCUCCCGAAAUGUCUCGAAGGACAGCGCGGCUGGAGGUAGAUAGCAGGGUAGAGCACUGAUUGAGUGUUUAGGGGAAGAAAUUCCUCGGCAUUCUGUCAAACUCCUAAUAUGUUAUCGCCGUAGAAGGCUGCAGUGAGGGCACCGGGGUAAGCUUGGUGUCCGCAAGGGGAAUAACCCAGACUAAGGUUAAGGUCCGUAAGUACAGGCUAAGUGCUAAAUACAAAGGGUGUAUGUGGCCUAAAACAGCGGGUAGGUAGGCUUAGAAGCAGCCAUCCUUUAAAGAGUUCGUAACAGAUCACCCGCCGAGGGCGCGUGCCCCGAAAAUCGACAGGGUUAAGCCUGUCACCGAUACCUUAGAUAAUCGAGAGAUUAGGAUAGGGAGGUGUCCGCGGAGAGUAGAAGAAAGGGCGUAAGUUCUUUUGGAUCCCCGUGGAAUAAGUAUCCCGCCAGUAGUAGCAGCAUAGAAUGGUGAGAAUCCAUUCCGCCGAAGGGGCUAGGUUUCCUCAGCAAUGUUCGUCAGCUGAGGGUUAGUCGGUCCUAAGGCCAUGCUUAAUUUGACAUGGUCGACAGGGAAACAGGUUAAUAUUCCUGUACCGCAAAGAUACAUGUGGCAACGCUAGUUUGCUCUUGACACAUCGGGGUAGGCCUUGCAGACUUGUCUGUCUGUCUAAGGAUAUAAGUCCGGGGAGAACCGUAACGGUGAGAACUGGAUGAACGUCUAAAUGGACCAUGUAUUUGGUUUUGGCUCAUCCCUGGUGUCCGUGAAAAGAGAGUAAAAGGAAUUCUUUGUGUCCGUACCGAGAACCGACACAGGUGCCCCUAGCUGAGAAGGCUAAGGCGUGUCGGAGCAAUUCAGUCAAGGGAAUUCGGCAAAUUAGCCCCGUACCUUGGGUAGAAGGGGUGCCAGCCUUGUGUAAAGGCUGGUCUCAGUGACUAGGGGAGUCCGACUGUUUAAUAAAAACGUAGGGUUCAGCAAGCCCGAAAGGGUGUGUACUGACCUUGAAUCCUGCCCAGUGCCGGUAAGUUAACUCUCGGUCCAACGAGACGAAGCUCCGGUAAACGGCGGGGGUAACUAUAACCCUCUUAAGGUAGCGUAAUACCUUGUCGCUUAAUUGGCGACUUGCAUGAACGGAUCAACGAGACUCCUGCUGUCCCUGACUGAAGUCCGGUGAACCUGUUAUCCUGGUGCACAGACCAGGGCCUCCAAACGGGUAAAGAAGACCCCGUGGACCUUUACUGCAGCUUGUCGUUGUGUUAUGGUUUGGUUUGCUCAGCGUAGGUAGGAGAUGUUUGAUCCAAGGCUUUCGGGUCUUGGUUAGUCAACAAUGAGACACUACCCUUGCCUCGCCAUAAUACUCACCGUGCGUAAGCAUGGGACAUCGAUAGGUGGGCAGUUUGACUGGGGCGGUACCCUCUUGAAAAGGUAUCAAGAGGGCCCUAAGAUCAGCUCAAGCGGGUCAGAAAUCCGCUGUAGAGUGCAAGGGCAAAAGCUGGUCUUAUUGGAAUCCUACAAGCAAGGUUUCCAAUCUAGAAAUAGUGGCCUAGCGAACCACCAUGUCCUCCUCGAUGGGGGCUGGUGAUGACAGAAAAGGUACCUCGGGGAUAACUGAGUUGUCGCGAGCAAGAGUUCAUAUCGACCUCGCGGUUUGCUACUUCGAUGUCGGCUCUUUCCAUCCUGGGUGUGCAGCAGCACCCAAGGGUGGGGUUGUUCGCCCAUUAAAGGGGAUCGUGAGCUGGGUUUAGACCGUCGUGAGACAGGUUUGUUUUUAACUGUUUGGAGUGCAGGUUGUCUGAGGGAAAGGUCCCUUUAGUACGAGAGGAACGGGGGGCCGUGGCCUCUGGUUUACCAGUUGUCUGACAAGGCACCGCUGGGCAGCUACGCCGUAUGUGGAUAAGCGCUGAAAGCAUCUAAGCACGAAACCACUCCUGAAAAUAGACAACC